UUUACCUUGUGUUUCUCUCAGCUUCUCAGAUGACCAAGAUGGUGCUGCAGAUGGUGCUGAGGAUGGAGAACCCACCAAGCCCCGCUAGGAGCCACCUAGACUGGAUGCAGAGCAUGGUGAAAAUGGAGGUUUCCUCCUCCUGCGGCUGAGUGUGGCUUCCCCGGAAGACCUCACUGACCCCAGAGUGGCAGAAAGGCUGAUGCAGCAGAUGGAAAGGAGCCUGGCUCUG
ensembl:lncRNA MUC20-OT1 MUC20 overlapping transcript